rnacentral:rRNA from 1 species
AGCCCAUUAGCGCCGAUGGUACUACAUUGUGGAAGAGUAGGUCGUCGCCUUUU